rnacentral:rRNA from 1 species
AACGAGCGCUGGCGGCAGGCUUAACACAUGCAAGUCGAACGCCCCGCAAGGGGAGUGGCAGACGGGUGAGUAACGCGUGGGAAUCUACCCAUCUCUGCGGAAUAGCUCUGGGAAACUGGAAUUAAUACCGCAUACACCCUACGGGGGAAAGAUUUAUCGGGGAUGGAUGAGCCCGCGUUGGAUUAGCUAGUUGGUGGGGUAAAGGCCUACCAAGGCGACGAUCCAUAGCUGGUCUGAGAGGAUGAUCAGCCACAUUGGGACUGAGACACGGCCCAAACUCCUACGGGAGGCAGCAGUGGGGAAUAUUGGACAAUGGGCGCAAGCCUGAUCCAGCCAUGCCGCGUGAGUGAUGAAGGCCUUAGGGUUGUAAAGCUCUUUCACCGAUGAAGAUAAUGACGGUAGUCGGAGAAGAAGCCCCGGCUAACUUCGUGCCAGCCGCCGCAGUAA